rnacentral:lncRNA from 1 species
CUAUUAUAUGAGUUCAACUGGUAUGCAUGGAACACAAAAAACUGUAAAAUAUUCGCAAUAUUCUUCAUGAACACCGCAGAAAUGGCAAAGGAGCAGGGAAGUGCUUUAUUCCAGGUUAAUCAUGAAUAUUUUAUGAAGACCGCAAGAAUGGCAUACGCUUUGCUCAACCUACUUAGAACAACUACUAAUUAGUAAACUAAGCUUAUUAAUAAAGCUUUUGCUUUGUCACGGUUGCUGAAAAAUCCCGUUCACUGUCCACCUCCACAAAAAUUAAAUUCACAUUCAAGUUCCAGUUGGUAAAUGACUGGGCGUCAAACGAAAAAAUAUUUGUUCACCACCCACAAAGUCGAUAACUAAAUAGUGAGCUGGAAGCAACGCAGUCAAUUUUCUUAGUCAAAUAUUCAAUUGUAGUGAAAAUAAAUGUCGUGAUAAUACAACGUAAUAAAUAACCAUCACAUUGUA